AGCAGCUAAUAGUUGGUAGGGAAGGAAAAAAGUUGGAGGAGGAGGAGGAUUAAAAGGGAGAGACUGAGGAGGAGGAGAAGGGAGAAAGUUGUUGAGGGAUGGAAAGUAAGAAUGAAGCUAAAGAAAAAUAAGUGCAUGGAGGAUUGGAAACAGGGAGAAAGGGGAGAGAAGGAAAGAGGUAAAGAAAGAAAAAGGAAUGGAUGCUAAAACAAAAGACAAUAGGGAGGAAAGGAGGGGAGAAAGGAGAUGACAAAGGAACAAGGAAGGGGAGAGUGAAGAGGGAGGGAAGAAGAAAGAGACAAGGAAGGAGUGAACGGUGGGAAGAGGAAGGAGUGAAGAAAGGACAAGGAAGGAGGGAGAGAGCGAUGAGGAAGGGAGGGAGGGAAGAGAAGGACAAGGGAGGAAGGAGAAAGCAAAUGAGAGAGGGAAGCAGAGAAGAAAGGGAACAUUAGAGGAAGGAGAAAACGGUGAGGGAGGGAAGGAGAGAAGAAAGACAAAAAAUAAGAAAGAAAAACAAAAGAGGGAAGCAGAAAAGAAGAGGAACAAGAGAGGAAGGAGAACACGAUGAGGAAGGGAGGGAGAGAAAAGAAAGGAGCAAGGAGAGAAAAAUAGAAAGGUGAGGGAGGGAAGGAAAGAAGAAUGGCGCAAGGAAGAAGACAGCGGUGAGGAAGGUAAGGAGAGGAGGAGAAGGCGGUAAGGGAGGGAAGGACAGAAGGGAGGAACAAGAAAACAGAGCAGUGAGGGAGGAAAGGAGGCAAGAGAGAAGGACAAGGAAGGGAGGAGCGGGCGGUGAAGAGCUUCAGUAUUGCUCCUGAACGGUACUAAAAAGGAGUCUUAGGAGAAUAUUAACCCCCCUUGAUGGGAAGAGCGUGCAUGCUGAUGGCGUGAUUUGCCGGGAGGGGAGGCCACGCGCGCCGGCGGCCACGCACACACACCACGUGGAGGACUGACCAGUGACAUCAAGAACGCAGUCAGCCAGUCAGUCAAUCAGCCAGUCAGUUAGGUACCCAGUCAGUUAGCAAAUCAUUAAGCCAGUCAGUCAGUCAGCCAAUCAUUCAGGUAGUCAAUCAGUCAGCCAAAUAUUUAAUCAUUAACUAUAUUACCUGGAAACUUCGUCCGUUGGAAUGUUCGUUAUACAGAAAUAAAAUAUCUUUCCCUAAAAUCAUUACUCUAUAUUGAGCAAGAAUUUUUAAACGCCACUUCUGACAUUUAAUUACCUACGUUUAUUUUUUUCUUUGUGCAAUGGACGCCAAAACGCUUCGGCCACAGUAGCAUCAGAGCGCGAAGCCAUUCAGAGCGUCACGCAGAGUAGCCAUCGCAGACUUUAUCGCCAAGGGGACGCGAGGGUCGGAAGACUUCAAUAACGGCUUGGAACACGUCUGUGAUCGCGCUCCGGUCGAAUUCCAGCUUCAAACGCCUCACGGUUUCUUUACGUCGGGAAAAUGAAUCUCUGAAACGAUCGGCAGCAAACAUCUGAGGGAAUUCGAGGAGCGGCGCCCCCCGGCCUCGCUCGCGGCUGCUUCGUUUGGAACAUUCGGAUAAUUGGAGUUCGAAACAAUUGAGACUUUUUCCCCCUAUUUUUACGUUUUUCCGAGGAUUUGUUGUGGAAAUACAUUUUAUUCUCGGUGGAUAGUUGGCAGUGGACAGCUUGUUGUUUUAUUCCAUUUAUUCCUUCGACGGGAGCUAUUUUUAUUUGACCGGUAAAUUCUGAAAGGUAAAUUCGAAAGCUGGUUGGCGCGAACAAAGAAAUACAACGAAUACAACAAUGGCGAUACGUAAAUGGGAGAUAAAUUAAACAAGUAAAUCCGCCAGAAAGAGAAACAAAGGGAAAACUGAGAGUAGGCCAUGAUGUUGAAGUGUGUGUGUGUGUGUGUGUGUGUGUGUGUUCAGAUGAAUCACCAAACAUCAAAAGGAUUCACUGCAACGCCUUCCCUGUGCAUCCCUUCUUCCUCCCUUCCUCCUCGCCCUCCCUGCCUAUCCCUCCCUUCCUCCCUCCCUUGCUUCCUCAUCCGUCGCUCUAAUUGGUCAAGGGGAGGCCCAAGCGGCUGCCUUCUGACUGGUGGAUGUGCGGCGUAGCGUCACAUCCCACCCACACACCACACCCACAUACCACCCACGUCCCCGCCCACCACCGCCCUCACCCACACACACGCCCGGUCCGUCACUCAGCCGCCGCUACGCAAAUCCAGUUACGCCGACAACGAGUCAGAUUCUGGCAAACUCCGAUUUUCCGGUUUAAUUCUGCCGCAUGCGUCGGUUGGAGGGUUGGAAGAGACGGUGGAUGGGGUGAGGGAGGGACGGGUCGAGAAUAGUUGAGUUUCCCGUACAAUGCUGCGAGCUUCGACGUUUCCUUUUGUGGCGUUCUGGGACCGUAUUCUAACACUCCAGCGCCCAAGCACACAUAUUUGACAAGCAUUUCCUAGGUAUUUUUUGCAUUUCCAUGGGUCGUUUUAUAGCCCUGGUGGUAGUUUGACCCUACUUCUGUAACGUGAACGUAAAAAAACACUCAUGAAAACCUGAUUAAUGUCCUUUUCGGCCUUUGGAAAUUGUUGACGUGAGAGGCCGGAGCGUCUGAGAAUGCCGACCCUGGUUUUCUGUUAGUCUCCCUCUCUCUGCCUCUCUGGGUCUUUGAUGUCCCGUUUUCUUUGCCGGUAAGUGUGCUAGAGGAGGCUUCUUCUGGCCCGGUAAUGUUUGUUUGCUGUGUCCUUCUUCCACUUCUUAGUCACUUCGCGUUGUCUUGUAAUUACGAUAAAACAACAACUCAGUGAUUUUCCUUUGAUUAAUAUGACUUUCAAGGAUCUUUUAGCUAUUGAGCAAUCGUUCUUGAAGCUUUACUAUGCGAUAAAUGAUACCUUGGUUACCAUGGGAAAAUGUGUCUAAAACUAUGACUUGAGAUGAUAAUGACACAAGGCUUAUGAUAAUGACGAAGGCGAAUAAAAAGAUAGAAUGAAAAGAAUAUUGAAUAAGUAAAGGUAAAUAUAGCUAAGAGGGUGCCUGUGAAUGGUUAUACAGACAUUAUACUAAAAAAAAGACUAGGUGGAUAGAUUGAAAAAUGAAAGGCUGUAUCUAAAACGGACUUAUAUAAAUGCAAAAGGAAACGAAACAAAAAAAUAAGGAAGAUAGAAAAGUAAAACUAAAAAUAGCUAAGAGAGUACUUGUGAAUAGCGAUGCAGACUUAAUUAUGAAAAAAAAAAGUUGAAGUUGAAAAUGAAAGGCUGUAUCUAAAAAGAAACUAUAUAAAUGCACAAGUAGAUAAAACCCUAAGAAACAGAAUAAAGAGAAAAAAAGAGAGAAAAAAAAAA